GCGAUGGCCGGGGAAGUGUUUGUGAGCAAUGAAAACACCAGCUGCAGGAGACACUAGUUCACCUUCCACUGUCCAUUGGCACGGAGCGGGCACCUUGCAGUGUCGGGUCACCUGCUUCGAGGCCUGUUCGGUGUGACAGUGUCGAGCUCCCCUUGCACUCAGCGGCUGGUUCGGUGCCGGCACAGGGGACGGUGACAUGGACAGUCGGUGGGCGGCAGGAGGAGGGCUUGUCUCUGGCUGCGCCUCGGCGUCGUGGCAAGCUCAGGGCCAGGGUGGUCCUGGGAAUGGAAGCUCCGGGCCAGUUCCCUGGGAGCCUGGCGGCCCAGAAGACACCCUGACACCCUGGGUGUUGGCCGCAUGGAGGAACAGCAGCCAAGGCCAGAGACCGUGGGGACGAGGAGGGUGAGCAGCCCCUGGGGCCCACGGGUCCCCUCUGUUCCCAGCCAGCACCGUGUCCCGCGUCAGCCCCCACUUCCCCUGUGGGAGCCACCCUGGUGCUCCCAGUCUCUGGAUUCAGGUAGGGCUCACGCCUCUCUGUGCACCCCAAACCCAGGGCCCCGGGGCACGUGUCCCAGGACAGGCAGUCGGGUCACCCCCAGGGCCUCGGGGAGCCAAGCACAAGCGCUGUGAGCCCCCAGGCCGGCCCCUUUUCCUGCAGGGGCUCUGCCAUGCGUUUGUGCUGCUGGAGAAAUUCCAGACGCGGCUGGUAACGGGGCGAGUCUGUAGGACGUGGGGGCAUCUGGUGUCCUAGCAGCCGGCACAGGCCACAGCCCCUGGGGAGGGGAGAGGCCCUGGCGCCGAUUCCGAGUCCUGCCUUGCACGGCCCAGCUGUGGAAAGCAGUCCGGCUUUGCUCUCGGUGCGCCUCGGAAGCUUCUGGACUCACUAGAUUCUCAGACACGGCCACCCACAGACAUCCUGCGUCUUGUGGUGACCACCUCGGUCCUGACCUUUGCCCUCCACUUACUCUCUUCAGCUAGCCUUGGGGUCCCUUCUGAUUGCUGUGGGACCCCCCCUCCUCCCCAAUACAGCCACGAGCGCGGCCCGGGUCUGGCUGCUGCGUGGCUCGUCCCCACCACCGGGGACAGCGCCGGCAGCUGCGGAGAAUCAGGAAUGUUUGCUGAAUGAAUGAAUGCAAUGAAUGAAUGAAUGCUUCAACUGUGCCUGCACCAUCAGCUCUUCCUAGAGUGACUGAGUCACCCGGGAGGUGGCAGUGCCAGUGCCUUGGUCCCUCCACUGCACACCCCGGUCGGGAGUCGGGGCUGGGCCCAGGAAUCUGCGUGGUUAACAAGGCUCUGAUAGGCGAGUGCCCACCAGGUCAGCCUCUGCCGGAAAACGCCGUCCAGAGAACAGCCCACGCCAGGCUAAGGGGUGAUCUCCCUUCCUGCCGCUCCAGGGCUCGGGGCUCCUGGAAAAGUGCUCGUUCCUCCCCAGGCGCACGGGCUGGUCUCCACCCUCCUCCCUCUCUGCGUCCGUUUGCAACCCGGGAGGGUUCUCUGCUCUGGAACGCCCAGGGUUCCUCUCUGCACGGAUGCUUUGAAGAGCGGCUGAGAAACAGCGAACGUCCCCAGACGGAGGCUCUGAGAGACCGCGAGCGGGACGAUGCUGGCAUUUGGUGCAGCUGCUCGCCCCUCAGGGCGGAGUCGGCAGUGGGUCUGCGGGACGAGGACACACACAGCGGAAACUUCACGGUAGAAACCGGGCAGAUACAGACACAGAUUCUCCCAACCCCACUGUGCUCACCCAGCCCCCUCAGUGCUGGCCUGUCAUCAUCCUGGGUGUCUGAUGGAGUCUCCAGGGACAGCCGGUGGGUGGAGCUGGUGCUGUCAGACAUGGGAAACAAUGCCAGUGUCCCUCAACCAGGGAAGGGACAGCAAACCCGGCAUGUCCUGCGGUGGAGCAGCACUUGGCAGUCAGAGGAGCGGCUGUGGGCAGGCGCAGGGCGUGGGAGGAAUUGCAGAUGAAUCCCGCUGAGCCCGUUCAUGCGUCCUCUGGAGUGGCAGAGAAGACAGCAGCAGUUUCCAGGGGUUACGGCUCACACCCAGCAGGUGCACACUGAGGUCCCCCCCAUCCCUGCCCCAGUCCCCUCCUCCCGACCCUGCUGUCCUCCCUCAUCCCAGAGAACGUCCCCACCAGCCCCCGCAGGCUCCAAGCCGAUGACUUCAAUUAUCCCCACUUCCGGGAUAUCAGUCACUCCCACACAGCCAAUUAACCAGGAAACCCGGGACGCGCUCAUCGAUCCUCUAAAUCACACGCUGAAAACCUGGAUGCCGAGGACCUUGGGCCAGCGGGGUAGGCUGUGAGCACAGCAGCAGGACUCCGGGCCUGGGCCCCUCACUGCCCCGUCCCGCUGAGGUUUGCUGUGGGAGCAAGUGCUCUGCCCAGGCCCUCACCACAGGGACCCCGAGACUGAGGCUGGGGCUGUGUGAAGCCACUGAGCGUGCGGAACGUGCCCUGCAGAGACAGAACCUGGCCCCUGGGAGGGAGGACGGGGAGCCCUGUCCCUCUUCUGUCCCUGCAGCUCAUAGUCCACGGGCCGGCACUGGUGACACGGCACAACCCCUGCAGGGGCUGGGGGCCGGGUGUCCAUGGCCAUUGGUGGGGACCGAGGCUCUGCCCCGGAGGGUUGGGCAGCAGGGGUCUGAGGAGCAGGUGGGAGCCCCUGCAGGGCUGGAGCUGGGGGGACACAGUCUGACAUGUGCCACAGGGGGACCCCGGGCUGCCGUGUGCGGAGCUGCCUGCAAGGCCUGGGGCAGCAGCAGCCAGAGGAGAGGUGACGGGUCCCAAGGACAGUCCAGGGGCAAAGCCCAGGAGUGCAGGGCAGGGGAGGCUGAUGCUACAUGCGUCGACAGGCAGAGCCUGGAGGACUUCCUGGGAGAUUGCAGAGAGCGCAGGAGCUGCCCUGUUCUUGAUGGAGAAGCCCGUGGGUGUGGCGGGUUCCAGACGGAAUCACCUGCAGCCCCGGGCACCAGGCGGCGUGGCUGGGGUGGCUCAGGGCCGGGCAGGAGCGGGGCCUCCCGGGAGGAGCUUGGGUCUCGGUGCCGCAGUGGCUCCCACGCUCCAGGGGGCUCCGGGAGGGACACACACACGGCACUGAGCCUCGGGUUGUCCGUCCUCAAAUGGAUCAAGAAAAGGUCCUGAUCCUUCUUUCCAGAAGGAAUUUCUUAGGGACAAAUGAGGAAAUAACGCAGAAAGACUCGGAGGCUCAGCCCAGCUGGGGCCUGAGGUAACUGCAAGGCGAGGCCACUCUUGUUCUAACUGGGUGCUCUCACGUCCAUGUUUUGUUUUAGUGACUUGAAUCUGGGGACGGAGACGUUAACCUAUGAGUCAUCGAUGCCACAGCAGACAGACCUCCCUGCGGGGCAUGUCCCCACCCCCUGUGGCCGUUGUACCCACAGCCGGGGAGGAGUGGGAGGAGGGCAGCCUCCCGCCCCCCCUUGGUCGUAUCACAGGGAAUGUGGCCUCCCUGGGGCUGGCAGAGCCACCUGGGCCCUCCUGGUGCCAAGCGGAUUGGCUGGCUCUGGGAGAGACUGAAGCGACAGGAGGCAGGGACCAGGACAGGAGGCAGGGAAGAGGACAGGAGGCGUCCGAGCCAGCAGCGCCCGAGGCCGAGCCAUGCCCUCCACCCACCCCAGAAGGAUGUGUCUCUUCAGGCAGUCCGAGAGCGGGAUGCACCGCCCGCGGCCUCCUCCCGCUGGGCGGGGCGGCUGUGCGGAGAGUCCCUGUCUCCGUUGUGCACAUCCUGGCAGGUUAAUUAGCUACAGGGGAUUUUCGGUGCUUUUGUUUUCUAAAGCAGUGCAAACAAAAGAAGUGUGUGCUGUGCCUGGACCCCCCCUGGCUGUCUCAUUAAGGAGCCCUCGGCGGGAUCAUCAUGGAGUGUGAACGGCAGGUCAAUGCGUGUGUGCGCGGGGGCACAGAGGAGACGACACCAGCCCAGCGAUGCUGCAGACACGUGCGCAGGGCCCAGGGCAGCGAGGGCUGUUGUCACUGUGACGAAGGGGGACUGAGGGGAUGCAGGUACCCGCGCCCUCCUGCUGAGUCUGUGUGGCUGCCGGACUGCCCACGAUGGUCCCACACAGCGGCGCUGCCCAGUCCCACGCUCUGUGACAUCAGCACGCAGUUCGAAGUCAGCUGCACAUACAGACUGCACAUGGAGGCUGCACACGGAGGCUGCACGUGGAGGAUGCACACAGAGGCUGUACCAGGGAGGCUGCACACGGAGCCCCUGCAUGGGGCUCUCCUGCUGGGACAUCGCCCCCAGCUGCAGGGGAAGUUACAGAAAUGCAGGAAAGAACACAAGUCAGCCGUGGGCAGCGUGAUGGAAUUCGCCAAAGCCAGCACAGCGCCGUAAGCAGCACCGGGACCCUGAGUCAGGGCACGGCCAGGUCCCCAGAAGGCCUGGUGUCCCUGCCCCUGCGCGUCACCACCAACCCCGCAGGUGACUGCGCUGGCCUGCGUCUCCAAGGGGAGCGUGUCACCCAGCCGCCACUGGAACGGGCUCUGCUUGCCCUGCACGUCCGUGCGCCUUCCCGCGGCAACACGUUUGCCAGACUUAGCCGUGCUGUUUGCCGUUGGAGUCCAGCAGUCUCGCCGCUGCGCAGCGCCCACCGCACGCGUUUAUUUGCCCACAUCAGUGUACCCAUCCCGCUGUCGACGACGUCUGUUUCCAGCUGGGCCUCCCGGGAUGGCGCUGCCGGGAGCGUGCUCGGUGAGCACCUGUCGGGCGCGCGUGUGCAGCGGGGCUGCCGCCCGAACACACGUGCGCCCGCUCGCCGCAGGGGGCGCGGCUGGCAUGACAAGCGUGCAGACGGCUGCUCCGCCAGCGGCACGUGUGAGGUCCGCGUGUGCAGCGUCCCGUGAGCCCCCGCGCCGGCCGCCUCUCCCUGGCAGCCUUUGGUGGCGCCUGGCGGCGCCGACUGCAGUUUUACUUUCUAUUUCCUGUCGACUAAAAAAUGGAGCCUCUUUUUAUGGUUUUCUGGAGCAUUUGAACAUCCCCCUUUGCAGAGUACCUAUUCAGGCCCGGCAGUUGUAGAGUAGGACUAAAACAACAUUUUAGUUUGUUUGAUGGUGACUUGUUUUUUUGCUCUUAGCUAACAGCCAAAU